UAAGCAGGCACCCAAGCGCCGCGUAUGAGGAGCUCCGAGAUACAAUAUUUAAUGUGGACCAUUUCCUGCCCUCCUCAGACUUCAUACUGCCUGAUACUGGGACAUGUAUUUCUUUGAGCAUCUAUAAUGAGCCUGGCAUCAGGCAAGUCAGCAAAGAUCCCCGUGUGAAGGAGACCUGAUUCCUCCCUGGAGGAGCUUUCAGCCUCAGAGCAAACAUGUACCACAAAGAUGUCCACUUCUCUAUGAACAAGUCCACUAACCGGCCACUCUGCCUCCCCCAAAAGGCCAGAAGAAGGGCAGACGGAAGGAAGAAGGAAGAAAGAAAAGCAGCGAAGAAGGAUCGAUGGACACGCGGAAGAAUGUCUGCUGCUUCAAAUGUGGCACCGUUUAAGCUCCCAACGCGGGAGCCAAGAGCUCCUGUUAAAUGAUUGUUCUAUUACUUCUAGUUCUUGGAGCGAGGGGAGACAUUCAUCCUCUUUUGACUGUCCCUGUUGACUUUCCUGUGGCAAAGGCUCCUUCUCAGAAGCCGCUGACUUUCGCCAAAUCAGCAUCAAGUCACAACUGCCCUCCCGUGUGAACCCAGGUAAAGAAUCUGCAGCUCCUGAAGACUGAGGAACUUGACCAGGGCCACAGACACCUGGAGCCAGGUUGAACCCAGAUUCGUCAGACGUGAACCGUUGCCCUAAGUCAGGUUCACACUGGAAAAGAACUUUUUCUUUUUUUUUUUGGCCUCACCGCACGGCAUGUGGGAUCUUAGUUCGCUCCCUGACCAGGGAUGGAACCUGUGCCCCCUGCAUUGGAAGUGCAGAGUCUUAACCACUGGACCGCCAGGGAAGUUCCUGGAGAAGAAUUUUGCUUCAAGGUGAAUUGUGCCUGGAGUCUCACCCGUAUCUGGUUUAGGUGACAUUUAGGUGAGACUUUGGGCAUUAGACUUUAGAGUGGAUGCUGGAAGGAGGUAAGACUUUGGGGGCUAUUGGGGUGGAAAGAUUGUAUUUUGCAUGUGAAAAGGAUGUGAUUUUUGAGGAGCUGGGGCAGAAUAUUACAGAGGGAAUGUUUACGUCCCCCUGAAAUUCAUGUGUUAAAGACCUAACACCCAAUGUGAUGGUAUGUGGAGAUGGGGCCUUUGGGAGGUAGUUAGGGUUACAUGAGAUCAUGAGGAUGAGGCCCUUAUGGUGGGAUUAGUGCCCUUGUAAGAAGAGACACCAGAGCACUAGUUCUCUCCCUCUCUCCCUCUCUCUCUCUUCCAUGUGAGGACACAAUGAGAAAACAGCCAUCUACAAGCCAGGAAGAAGACCUUCACCAGAACCUGUCCAUCUUGAUCUCAGAACUGUGAGAAAUAAAUUUCUGUUGUUUACCAUAAAUUGCCAUCCAGUCUAUGAUAUUUUCAUAUGGCAGCUCAAGCAGACUAAGACACAGACCUAGGAAAUGGUUGAGUUGGGAUUUGAACCCAUAAGUCUGAUUUGAGGACUUUUCCCUCGACCAACGACACUACACUUUCAAUAACCCUUUCUGCCAAAAGAUAUCUAGGAAGCAAGCCUUAUCUUUUCUUAGAGUAUGUUUCAGUCUCCAACAUUUCCUUUAUACCAAGGGACAGAGAAAAGUGUGACUUGAUUGAAGGUUCCACGUGCUAGGAUUUAUUCUUCCUUCUGUAGCUAAGUGGCGGGACAGAAACUCCCCCACCUUUCCCCUCACGAAGCUGUGUAGAUAGGCCACCAAGGGAAGGAGCAACUGAAUCUCUCACUACAGGACUCGACCAUGUCACCAACACCUGUGCUGAAAUAAAGUUUCACCAGAGGCAGCCUGGCCCCCAAGGGGACCGCAUAGCUGCCGUGAAUCCAGGAGGGCCCAUGGAUGACGCAUACUCCAAGCAACUCAUCAGACCACCCUGCACUGACCUUCUGUGGUCUGCUAAGUAGGGAGCACUUGGAGAAAACACAAAUACAUAUUUAUGUAUAAAGGUAAAGCAUUUUGCAACAGCACUCCUGGUCUCUAGAUUAACAAGUACAAUGUAUCAGGUUCACAGGUAUUUGGGGGUCAGAUUUGCAUCUUGGUUAAAGAGUUGGUGCAUGGUUAUAGGGUGGUGUGAUGAACAUCUUGGAAGAUGUUCACUGAGUAUUUAUUGAGUGAAUGAAUGAGAUGAAAGCCUCUGUGACAAGAGCUGAGCCAUCCCUGUCCGUGCCAGGAUGUGGCAGUCCCCUGACAGGAGUCAAAGGAGCCUGGAGAGUGGGCACUGCCUGCCUUGCCCCCUGGCCGACCUCUAGGUGACACUUGGGCUGGACGGCAAAGAGAAAGGUGUUGCCGCCAAUCAGGGCCACGGCGUGCAUCCACGUGCAGUGCAGGGGUGC